UACGGGGGGGGCAAGCGUUGUUCGGAAUUACUGGGCGUAAAGGGCUCGUAGGCGGCCAACUAAGUCAGACGUGAAAUCCCUCGGCUUAACCGGGGAACUGCGUCUGAUACUGGAUGGCUAGAGGUUGGGAGAGGGAUGCGGAAUUCCAGGUGUAGCGGUGAAAUGCGUAGAUAUCAGGAGGAACACCUGCGGUGUAGACGGCUUACUGGACCAUAACUGACGCUGAGGCACGAAAGCGUGGGUAGCAAACAGG
rnacentral:rRNA from 1 species